GGCUGGAGCAGCAGCAGCAGCAGCAGCAGCUGGGGCUCUGCAGCAGAUGAGCUGGAGGAGACGGAGAGCAGGUCUCUGAAACACCUAGAGCUCCAGCUGCGAGCGGGCCCUCAUUGUGCUGGGGGAUAUACAGGUGCAUAGUUCCUGCCCUGAAGAGCAUGCAAGCAAGCAGACAAGUCAGCGAGAAGGACUGUUACAAUUUGACAGAUGGGAGAAGUGAAACCAAAGCAAAAUGAUUGUUUCCAAGCUCACAAAGCAAAUCCAUGUCAGAGCUGGGGAUCAAACAUAGGUCCUAUGAGUCCCAGUUCAGUUCCUGAAACAUAAGACCGUCCCUUGAUAUGUUAUAUCAAUAUUAAAACUUGAUGGUCCUUUCAUACCCACCACUGAACGUGCCUUUGGAAAUGAUCCAGGCCAGCGGAGAUGACCAGAAAUGGAGCUGACUAUUGCGUGGUGGCGAGUGAAGCAGAGCUGCAGAGGGGAUUCCUCUGUAUCUGUGCAGAGCAGGCGAGCUGGGCUUGCACAGAUAAAGGUGCAGCUGUUGCAAUAUUUGUAUAGAUAGAACAAAUAGAUCAGCUUGUUUUGCCAGAAAAGGGGAAGAAAUUACCCAUGUCAAGUGGCUGCGUAGCUGACGGGCGGGAGGUUGUUCAGAAGGUUGGAUCUCAUUUCAAAGUGCUGCCGCUUCAGGAUUUCUCUCUCUCAAUAAACAGAUGACAAAGAUGCCCAUUUCCAGCCUGAGAUGCCCUCCGCUUGCAAAAACAGAACAGGCUGGUUAACGGGAGUGGAGGAAACCCCAAACCAGCUCAGUUAAGACCUGGCCUUGCCAAUCAAUCUGGGCAGGAGCGAUGCCUAGACAAGGAGAGAGGCCAAGGGCGGGCACAUAAAUACUCUCCUUGUAUAAACCGCUGCUCCAAAGUCUCAGAGCAAAGCGGGGGGCCAAGCCUCAGCACCUCCGUGAACUGGCUGGUUGGCACUAAGGAUAUUUCCAGCAUGGUGCAUAAUCUGUAACCUCUAGGGCCUGUUCCUGCUCCCGCUGAAGUCUAUGGGUAUUUUGCCCGUGAUUUCAAUGGAAGCAGAAUUGGGCCCUGAGGAUCUAUCCUCAGAAGGGGAAAAAUAAAAUUCUGAAAAAUUUAAAAAAAAACAAAAAAAAAACAAACCCACCCACACAAGCACAUCAAGGCUGGUUUGUCCAGGGGAGGAUGGUGCAGUGGUUAGAGCAGCAGCUGUGAGGCUCCGAAAACCCCACCUCAAUUCCCUGCUUUGCUGCAGCCUCCCUGUGGGCCCUUGAUCCAGUAAUUUAGUUCCUCAGUUCCCCUUCUGUACAAUGGGGAUAGCAACAGUGCCUUGCCACACGGAGGGCUGGGGAAUUCACAGAACUGGAAGGGAUCUUGAGAGGUCGUCUAGUCCCGUCCCCUGCAUGAGAAACUGUGAGGUGCUGAGGCACAUGUUAGUCUCUUAAAUAAAUAGAUAAAAUGCCUUGGUUUUAAACAA